AGGGAGGUGUAAAAGGAUUGCCUUGCUACACAGCAUAUGAGUAUAGGCAGCAAAUGCAGGGAGUGAUUGAAGGCUGAAGCUUGGCAGGGAAGAUCAAGGAUAAUGGCAUCAAUGCUGGUGGGAUUUGAAAACUGGACUCUGGAAUGACAGGAUGCUGAGGAGCCUUCUAGACCUUUUAAACUCAAAGGGCUAUAAGCUUCACUCCCUUCAGAAGUUGACAACUUUUCCUAAUGGAGCUGAAGUGGUAGCUGAAGUUGUUGGACCUUUUUGAAUGCCUCUAAUGAAUCAGAGCCUCUUCUUGAAGAAGUUUUUAGUUCUUCUGAACUAGUUAUGAAAUGUCUACUUGUGCUUCACAGUCUGUCUCUUCAAAACAUUUUCCUUACAUGUAACCACAAUUAUCCCAGAACAAUUAUUUAUGUAUGUGCUCUUUCCCCUAGUUUCCUUUAAAUGGCAAUGCUAUCUGAGGCCCUCUGGGCAUCCACCAGACUCAUAAUUCAGUAGCACUGAAACUUUUAUUAAACUUUUUCGAUGGCACUUCUGUUAGGCACUUCUCAGCCUUCU